rnacentral:rRNA from 1 species
GGAUCCAGACUUUGAUUCUGGCUCAGGAUGAACGCUAGCUACAGGCUUAACACAUGCAAGUCGAGGGGCAGCGGGAUUGAAGCUUGCUUCAAUUGCCGGCGACCGGCGCACGGGUGAGUAACGCGUAUCCAACCUUCCGUACACUCAGGGAUAGCCUUUCGAAAGAAAGAUUAAUACCUGAUAGUAUCUUAAGCACACAUGUAAUUAAGAUUAAAGAUUUAUCGGUGUACGAUGGGGAUGCGUUCCAUUAGGUAGUAGGCGGGGUAACGGCCCACCUAGCCAACGAUGGAUAGGGGUUCUGAGAGGAAGGUCCCCCACAUUGGAACUGAGACACGGUCCAAACUCCUACGGGAGGCAGCAGUGAGGAAUAUUGGUCAAUGGACGAGAGUCUGAACCAGCCAAGUAGCGUGAAGGAUGAAGGUCCUACGGAUUGUAAACUUCUUUUAUAAGGGAAUAAACCCUCCCACGUGUGGGAGCUUGUAUGUACCUUAUGAAUAAGCAUCGGCUAACUCCGUGCCAGCAGCCGCGGUAAUACGGAGGAUGCGAGCGUUAUCCGGAUUUAUUGGGUUUAAAGGGAGCGCAGACGGGUCGUUAAGUCAGCUGUGAAAGUUUGGGGCUCAACCUUAAAAUUGCAGUUGAUACUGGCGUCCUUGAGUGCGGUUGAGGUGUGCGGAAUUCGUGGUGUAGCGGUGAAAUGCUUAGAUAUCACGAAGAACUCCGAUUGCGAAGGCAGCACACUAAUCCGUAACUGACGUUCAUGCUCGAAAGUGUGGGUAUCAAACAGGAUUAGAUACCCUGGUAGUCCACACGGUAAACGAUGGAUACUCGCUGUUGGCGAUAUACUGUCAGCGGCUUAGCGAAAGCGUUAAGUAUCCCACCUGGGGAGUACGCCGGCAACGGUGUAACUCAAAUGAAUUGACGG